AUUAAACAAGAUUUAUUAUACACAGGUUUACAAGAAAUAUUAUACAAAUUGAAAUGUUAAAUUAACUGUUAAAUCAUAUGUCCGAUCCUUUGUCUUUUCUUUAUCCGGAAUUCUUCUCUUAACUGUACGGAAUAUGUCCAAUCUAGUAUGAUGUAGUUAACGUACAUCAAGUGUCAAUACAACAACGUAAGAGAACUUCUGUGAAUCAAAGUAAAUAAAUGACUAAAAAAGUCUAAUUUCGGUGUCUCUAUAUGUAGUUGUCACGGAAACUUCUAGAACACUGUAGAACGGAAACUCAUAGAAAACCUUAGUACGGAAACGUCUAGAAUACGGUAGAAGUUUCAAUUACACAUCGUAUAUUAUGAUCAUUUCAGAAUUAUUAUGUCAGUCAAAUAGAAAGUUCUAAUCGUUCCAACGUUCUAAACUGCACAAUUAUAACAUUAUUUUGUAAACAACUAUAAAUAUGAUAUAAACAUAUUAUACAUAUUAUAAGGCCACACAAAACAAAUUAGGCCAAGAUAAAUAAACAUGAUAAUAACAAUAUCAUAACAACAUGUAUACUGAAACAUAACUAAUCAUUCCUUUCAAUCAAGCCAAGUAAAUUUUUACGAACAUUUUCCUUGUACAAUCAGAGUUGUAUUAUUUUGAACUAUUGGCAAACAGAAAGUCGCCACAACUCAACAUUAUCAAGUUGCGCACCAAAUAUGAAAUAAUUCCCUUUCAACGAAGCCGUGAAAACGUUGACGAAAUGUUUCUAUCAAAGACAUGACGAUGUGGGCGAAACAGGUAAAACACAUUCUAGUCAAACCAGUUGCAACUUUACUUCAUGAUUUCGAAAGACUACACAUUUAAAUAUAAUCAUAACAUUUUAUAAAACAAAAGAAAUAACAUUCAUAUACAUAUUACAAAAUUAUGUAUAGUAGUCUCGCGCGUUAAAUAUAAUACAAUUUCAAUCUACAUGUUUACUAGUUUAAAUGCAGAAAGAACGUAUAAAUCAAAUAUAUGUAUGAUAAUUGAAUCCACAUAAAGAAAUACAUUGUAGGGUUAUAGACAUAUUGUGUACAAUUUGAAUAAUAACUUGAAGUACUAGAAAAGUCUACAGUGUUGAUUUGUUUCGAAUCAAUUACCUAGGACUAUUCCGACAGUGUAUAAUGCUUUUCAAUACGUUAAGUUUUAUAAUAACAUUUUUUGUAGGAUAAAUAGAAAAGUGAAAUCAAUUUGAAUAAGUAACGGACACUAGGAUAUUGAUUGUAGUUAUAUAACACUUGAUUGGUAAGAAGUAUAGCUAAUUAUUUUGAAUUUGAUAUAAUAUUCAGUUACGGGAGAGCAUUUAAUAAUUAUCUGACAUAAGAAAAUAUAAAAGUAUAAAUGAUUCGUGUGAUGCAACACGUACGACAUAAUUCUUAUGUGGUUAAAACAGAUUUUAGGGAAACAAUUGUAAAGUUUCUAUUUUGAUGUAUCAGAAUCAUAUUUAUUUUAAA